rnacentral:lncRNA from 7 species
AAUUAAAGAUUAAUGCUUACAAGAUUCUUCAUAUCUCAAGACAGAAAGAAGAUGGUGAACAAAUGUUAUGAAGCCAGUAGUCUUGUUCAGAGAAAAUAUAAAACUCAAAGAAUCAACAAUCAAGGGAACUCAAAGAAUCAACAAUCAAAGGAAUUGAGCUCUGCUUUCAUCCCUAGAAAAAGCUUCCCCAUAUUAAAGCCAAGUCUCAAAGAGUGAGUUUUUUACCCCACAGCAGAUGAUAGCUUCCUACAGAGAGAAAAGAUCCCCAUGGUAUCAUUUAAGAUUCAUCCCAAAAGAUUUGCUCUUUCAGGAGUCCAGUAGGUCUCAUUUUCCCAGUUUUCAAGAUUGCUAGGAUGACUGAGGCUACAUUCACAAGAUUGUUUCAUUGGUACGGAUCCUGUUGUUCUGAGAACCCACCCGGAAUAUGCUGUUUUUUCUUACUACACUUGGUUGCUGCCAGUGCUUGGGUGAGGUUGGAAAGGUUCCAGUACACUGUGCUCUGUACUCCCCUUACAUCAAUAAACACUGUGCGAGGUCCUAAAUCACAGUGCAAACUCAAAUUUGUGUCCUUUAAAAUCAGAAAUAUCUACAUUUCUGAAGUUUGUGCCUAUUUGUUUGAUAAUAUAUUUGUUUUACCUCUGUUUUUGCACAUCUCCCAGUAGCUGCCGGCUGAGACACUUAGGGAAAUGGAGCCAGAGCCGGUUACAAAGGUUGUGAACUACACAGAAUUAUUAACAACAGUCAUCUGAGUCUGGAGCCUGCGAUCACUUGGCAUUUGGCCUGCGGCACGUUCCUGUGAGACAAAUAGUGCUCCCCAGGAGUACAGCGCCUGACCUUCUACCUGGGAUGUGAGGAAGCAUGACAGAUGCUCAGGUGCCAUGUGCUAUUUGCAACACGUGGCAGCUGUGGCUGCCCUUCACCUGCUGGCAAGAUGAUGAGAUCUAGAAAAACAAGGACUUUCAGAGAUUUUGGGCCUAAUGCCAGCUGUAGAGCUGAGGUUAAGGAACAACUUUUCCCCUUUUACCUGCUCAUCUUCAACCCUUAUUUCUCUUUUACCUUGCUAUUCCUAGAGAAAGUAAAAGAGAGCAGGUAUUUCCCUCCUUUUCUCCACGCUGCUAAAACUUAACUGAGAUUCAUUUCCCUGAAUGUGAAUAAAAAAUUGCAGCACUUGCCAUGAUACCACACUUCACCUCUGCUUUUCACAUUUUCAGUCUUACAGUUCUCUUUAAGAGUACAUGAGGCUUUGCACUGUGUCUCUGCACCAAGCUGAUUUUCACUCUAUUCAGCAUAACUCAGUUAACAUCCUGCAGCUGCCAGGACAGUUCUCUGGUGCCUCAGCUGUUCCUAGGGGACAAGGGAAAGAGCUACCCAAACACCAAGCACAGCCCAAAUCACAUGCACAGGCAGCUCAUAGCCUUGGACCAGUGUGAGAAGCAGGCACAUCUACUUCUCAUGCACACAAUAAUUUUAUUUGUGUGAGAGACAGCAGAACUGAAGCAGCCUGGCAAAGCCCUAAAUUGCUGCUGUCACUGCUGUUGUGGAUGGCAAAAAAAAAAAAAAAAAAAAAAAAACCAACAAAAACAAACAACAACAACAACAACAAAAAACAGGACUCUGGCAGUGCCAAAAUAUUCUCAGCAUGAUUACUAAAAGUUUUAGAAAUGAUUGUCUCUUUCUUCCACAGGUACCAAGGAGGAAAUUCAACUGUAUGUAAUCCACCCCAUCUUGUUUAUUUGUAAUUAUUACCUAUGUGUGUGUGUUCACAUUUGUCUGUCAGAUUCUGCUGUCUUUUUCCACUUUUGUUUCAGAUAAUUAUUUAUAGCUGCCUUUGGACCUAAGUAAACGUUUCAUUCUUG